AUGCAUGUCUAAGUAUAAGCCUCGACAAGGUGAAACCGCGAAUGGCUCAUUAAAUCAGUUAUGGUUCCUUAGAUCGUUCCAUCCUACUUGGAUAACUGUAGUAAUUCUAGAGCUAAUACAUGCGACGAAGCUCCGACCCGCGAGGGGAAGAGCGCUUUUAUUAGACCAAGACCGGAACGGCUCUCUCGGGGGCCGUACAACCUUUGGUGACUCUGGACAACUCUAGCAGAUCGCACGGCCUCKGUGCCGGCGACGUAUCUUUCAAAUGUCUGCCCUAUCAACUUUCGACGGUUGGUGACUUGCCAACCGUGGUGAUAACGGGUAGCGGGGAAUCAGGGUUCGAUUCCGGAGAGGGAGCAUGAGAAACGGCUACCACA
rnacentral:rRNA from 1 species